rnacentral:snRNA from 1 species
AUGCUUGCUUUGGCAGCACAUAUACUAAAAUUGGAACGGUACAGAGAAGAUUAGCAUGGCCCCUGCACAAGGGUGACACGCAAAUUCAUGAAGCAUUCCAUAUUUUU